rnacentral:rRNA from 1 species
GGAGCGUGAUGGGGGGACGCAUAGGGUUAAGCGAGCUAGCUGAUGGAAGCGCUAGUCUAAGGGCGUAGAUUGGAGGGAAGGCAAAUCCACCUCUGUAUUUGAAACCCAAACAGGCUCUUUGAGUCCUUUUAGGACAAAGGGAGAAUCGCUGAUACCGUCGUGCCAAGAAAAGCCUCUAAGCAUAUCCAUAGUCGUCCGUACCGCAAACCGACACAGGUAGAUGAGAUGAGUAUUCUAAGGCGCGUGAAAGAACUCUGGUUAAGGAACUCUGCAAACUAGCACCGUAAGUUCGCGAUAAGGUGUGCCGCAGCAAUGCGGUCUCAGCAAAGAGUCCCUCCCGACUGUUUACCAAAAACACAGCACUUUGCCAACUCGUAAGAGGAAGUAUAAGGUGUGACGCCUGCCCGGUGCUCGAAGGUUAAGAGGAUGCGUCAGUCGCAAGAUGAAGCGUUGAAUUGAAGCCCGAGUAAACGGCGGCCGUAACUAUAACGGUCCUAAGGUAGCGAAAUUCCUUGUCGGUUAAAUACCGACCUGCAUGAAUGGCGUAACGAGAUGGGAGCUGUCUCAACCAGAGAUUCAGUGAAAUUGUAGUGGAGGUGAAAAUUCCUCCUACCCGCGGCAAGACGGAGAGACCCCGUGGACCUUUACUACAACUUAGCACUGCUAACGGGAAUAUCAUGCGCAGG